rnacentral:rRNA from 2 species
UGUUUCGGCUAGGGGGCCAUCCCGGCUUACCAACCCGAUGCAAACUGCGAAUACCGGAGAAUGUUAUCACGGGAGACACACGGCGGGUGCUAACGUCCGUCGUGAAGAGGGAAACAACCCAGACCGCCAGCUAAGGUCCCAAAGUCAUGGUUAAGUGGGAAACGAUGUGGGAAGGCCCAGACAGCCAGGAUGUUGGCUUAGAAGCAGCCAUCAUUUAAAGAAAGCGUAAUAGCUCACUGGUCGAGUCGGCCUGCGCGGAAGAUGUAACGGGGCUAAACCAUGCACCGAAGCUGCGGCAGCGACACUGUGUGUUGUUGGGUAGGGGAGCGUUCUGUAAGCCUGUGAAGGUGGCCUGUGAGGGU